UAAGGAGAAGAAGGAGAUGAAGCUAAUAUUUCUUUUAGAGAAGAAGGUUAUGAAAAUCAGUAGAGGAUCAAUCUAAUUGAGGUAGAAUGUUUAAUCCUUUCUCUUUGUGUUUCUUUAUUAUAUUUUGAUUUUUAUUUUGUUUAAUCUUAUAUCAUUAGGGUUCUGAAAUUUGUCUAUUUAAUUUGAUGAAUACUAUUAAUGAUCAGACUUCUGUUAUUGGUAUAUAACAUGAUUGGGUAUCACUAGUUAAAAUUUGAGAGUAUUCCACGAUAUAUUCUCCGUUGAAUGUGUGUUUGAAUUUGGAUGAUAAUUUCUGAAAUUGUGGACAGUUCCGCUUUGCUGUGUUUUUGAUAUUCUUAAGAAGUCUUAAUGACGCUAAAACGAUUUGAGUCCUUAACAAAAGUUGUUUAUUUGUGAUUUAUCUAGCAGUGUGUUUUGGAUUGAGUCAAUUUUACAUUUCUAUGAAUUUAUCAUGAAUUUUUUGGUAAUGACAUGUAAUCUGCCCAGUUUUUAGAAUGUCCUUGUAAAUUCGAUAACUUUUGUUUGAACCGUUGGUUUUAUGUGAAAUUUGGAUAUGUGGUUGUUUUUGGAGAUAUGUAUGUUCUAUAAAAAUUUCAGGAAUAUCAGAUAAAUAAAUCACCCAAAUAUGUAUGAUGCAAAAUGGACGCAGUUAUCUUGUUUUUAGAAAUGCUUGAAAGAAAAUUUAUUUUUUUAUGCCAUGGUUGCUUGUGUGUGUGUAAAAAUGUUUUAUAAAAGGAAAUGAGUUCAUGUUUUUCCGUUAGAUGGAAUAUGGUUUCAUGCUAACGGCUGGUAAUGAUCCCCGAGAGUUAAAUGGGUAAUGAUCCCCAUGGGAACUUGUGUUUCCCGACCAUCGAUGGCGGCUGUCCGUGCCGGUAAGUGAUAGGUGGUGUACGAACCAAGGUUUUCGUACCGUGAAUGAAACGAGUAAUGAUCCCCAAGAGCAGAUGGGUAUGAUCCCCAUAGGAACUUUCGUUCCUGACCAUCGAUGGAGGUUGUCCGUGCCGAUAAACGAUAGGUGGGUGUAUGAACCAAGGUUUUCGUACCUUGAACUCAAUAUUUUUUGGUGAGAUGUGUUGAAAUAUAGAUUAAAUGAUUUAUUAGAAACGUAAUUGGUUUUAUGAACUCAUGAGUUGAAACUUAAAUGGAUGAAUUGUGAAUUGAUGUGUUAAAUCCCAAAUGGAUGGAUGAUUAGUGAACUCAUGGUUUCUCUGUGACAAUAUUAAUAUGUGAAUAGAUGUGUUGAAUCAUUAAUGAAUGACUUGUUGACAAUUAUUAUGGUAUUGUAAACUCAUGGUUUGUUGGUGAUAAUAUUGAUAUGUCACUCAUGGUUUGAAACUUAAAAGGAUGGAUUGUUGGAAACAUUAUUGAUGAUGUUAAUUGGUGUGUUGAAUCCUAAAUGGAUGAUUUGUUGGCAAUAAUAUUGGUAUUGUGAACUCAUGAUUGAACAAAUAAAUUGGAUGACUUGUUGAUGUAUUAUUGUGAAGUCUUAUUUGAAAUCUUAAUUAAAUGAUUUGUUAGAAACGAUAGUGGUAUUUUGAAUUCACGGUUGAACAAAUGAAUUAGAUGAUUUAGUGAAAACAAAGGUAAUGUUGUUGGUUGAAUAUAUUCGUUGAAGUUGCACUGUAUUUCUUAUUGUAUGUUAUUCCUUGAUAAAAUGAUUUUGUUUCCACAUAUUUAGAGAAUAGGGGUACAUUAUAUUGAGUUGUCAUCUCACCCCAAUUGACAUCCUUGCAGAUUUAUCAGAGUAGCACAACGAAAGCUAUGAAUGAGGAACUUAGUGAUUGAACUGCUUGAUUGUAUUUCUUGGAAUGUAAUUUGAAAUAAUAUGUUUGGUUGAAAUCGUCGUUAAGAUAAUAAGCGGAUUUAAAUGCUUCAGAUUAUGUUAUAUAAAGUUUCAACUACGUUUUGUGCAAAAGUAAAUCAGCAAAAAUAUGUAUGCAUAAGUCUCUUUCCGACCCGUAACGCUUCGAGUUUGGAUCCCCAUAUGGGUUUGACCCUAGUCCGGAACUAGGGGUGUUACAAGUUGAUAUCAGAGCUCUAGGCUUUAGAUCUUACAUGGGACAUUAAAAAAAAAUCGUAUGAAUUGCUGUGCAUGAUUGUUUGUUAUGAUUGUUGGUGAUGUUGCUUAACGUUUUGUAAAUGGGUUUUGUUUUGUCGGCCACGCCUCUUUUUUACGCUUCUCUUACUUGUCGUCGUUCCUCUUUAUUUCUCGUUUUCUGAUUUUUGGUAGGAUCUUGCUCCUACCUGAUGGAUCAAUUUCCUAGUUUGCCCAGGUUUAGUUUCAACUAAUAGGGUUCGAACUAUCGCGCAGGGCGCAAAAUACCUAAUUUUUGCAAAUUGAUAAAAUUAGGUUAAAGAACUGAAUUUUGAGGGUUGCCGCAAAAUCAAUCAAUUUUUGGUGAAUUUUGCAUACUGAUACAAAAAAUCACUAAUUUAAUAUCAAAGGGAAGCAUAGCUUUGCGUGCCUCUGAUUGAGUACUUCCACAUGCAUCUUAAUCCUGACACUUCGGGAGAUUCAUGCUACUCGGCUGGGAGCGAGCAUUAGUCGUCAUGUCAUGUCAGUAUUAAGAGUUCAAAUGGGGAACAUGACAUAGAAUAAAAACUCACAAAUUUACAGAAUAUUUGGGAUUGUUGCUAAAUGCACCAUUCUGGAUAAAUUUCAUAUAAAUAUACUGAAUUGCUCCAUAUACAUGUAGUUAAAGAGGCCUCGACACUCAUCACUUUUAAAUGGCUCAACUUCUUUGCAUAAUGAUGGCACAUUAAAUACAAGGUUUUACAAUUUUAGCCCUGACUUAAAAACCACCAUCAACAUUAAGUUCCAUGCUUAGUACAAAACAAUGACAUUAUAGCGGGGUAACCACUAGAUGGUGACAGACGAUGAUAAAAAUCGAAAAGGCGAGACAUGUAGAGGUUACCAGGAAAAGUUUGAUUGACCUUUGGCAACAGGUCCGUGCGGCUGGUGAUCUUCGUACCGGCCUGCUGCUAGUUCGGCCAUGGAGCGUUGGCGCCGCGAGCUCAGCUGCCUUUCUCCGUGCAUGGUCCGAAAGAAAACCCUCCUUUACUCAAAUUCCAAAGUAUCUAUGUGUAUAAAAGGGAAUCGACCUUCCCUCUUCUUGUUGUUUUUAUUUGCUCGCCCAUCUUCAUGUCUUCAUCUGCAGCAACAAGCUUCUCACCGUCGGUAGUCCAGGCGCGUCAAUUGUCAGCGGCAAGCGUUGGAGUGAGCAUCAGCAGCACCAGUAACAGAGUGAUCAACAGUAAUUAGGAGGAUUAGCAGCAAGACCAGCAUGAGAGUUCGAGUUACUCAAAAGUGAACAGUAACUUAAGAAAUUCUUGUUUGAAUAAGAUGUCACCUAGAGAUGUUUUUGCUGCCAAACUGAGAAGUGUUAACAAUUCCAAAGAUGGGCCGAAUGUAGAUGAUGAAUUCUUCACAAAGUCUUACACAGCUGCAAGGACACGUCCCGGCCAUGUGAUAACCCUUCUUACUGAUUCGGAAAAUGAAGGAGUUGUUCAGUCGAUUUCUCCAGAGUGUGUAAUAAGGUUUUGUCUCCAUAGGAAAGAGUAUCCAACUUCUCCCAUUGACUUCAAUAUUUGCCAUAACCCACUGCGCUCUUAUGAUGGAUGGAUGGAUGAGAUACAUGAUGAGCAAUGACCAUGUCGGGGAAAAUCUGAUUAAGGCACAAAUCAUGGAUGAUGUCAUGGCGUUUGCAACACUUUGUAUUAGGAAAGAUGUUGUAGGUUUGAUUACUUUCAUUUCUAGAUGGUGCAUGUCCACUCAUACGACCAUACGUAGAUGGGGCAAUACGACUAUUACUUUAGAGAGUGUGGUUGUUCUGCUGAAUCUUCCGGCUGUAGGAAAUCUUGAUUUUGAAUUUUCCAAUGAAGAAGAAAUAAUGCACGCCACUCUAGUUAAGAAGGCAGAAGGAUAUAAUCGGCAGGAAAAUGAUGAAAAAUGCUUCUAUACUUGGUGGGUGUCUGAAUGGUUUCCUACGAAACCAAAACCGGAUUAGGUAUUGAAUGACACGCUCUGUGUUGCUGCGUUUUUAUCCUUGUGGCUGUCUAGAUAUGUUUUUGAUGAUGGCUCCGGCACGAAGGUAAUAAGACGGAAGCUUGUUAAAUUUGCUAUUAAGCUGGCGCAAGGUGUUGUUCUUCCCAUAGGCAGCUUGUUCCUUGGUUCCUUGUAUUCCCAUCUGGAUUCCCUAGCAGCGGACAUGCAUGCUUCCAACGGAUAUAUGAAGAUAGAAUCACAUGUUCAUAUCUCCGUUCUCCAAGCAUGGUUGUGGGAGCAUUUCAAAGGUUAUGCUCCUAAUCUUGUAGCUUCGUUUUCCAGUAUAUAUGGAGGUGCUAGAAUACUUCGUUGGUUGAAGAAGCGCCCAAAACCUGGCUUAAGGAUCAUCGAUUUCUUCGACAACAUGCAUGCAGUUAACUUCGUCCCUAGGCACCGAUUCACACAUCUAUAGCGCAGCCGGAUACUUUUGCUUCCGCUUCGGGCAUAACAUUGCAUUCUAAUGGAGAGAAUCUGAGUAUUAGAGAAACUGUGUUUACGCGAAGCUGUAUACCUGGACAUGUUCCAUAUUUCUUCAAGGAAUCUUUUACAGUGGUUCCUUAUAAUAUCGACAGAGCUGCUCGUCAAAUGGGUUUUGAUCAAGGAAUUCCGUUCUAUCGUCCGUUGAUGCCCUCAAAAGACCUGUUGACAUCUGUUUUUCAUAAUAGUGUUUUCGCAACAAAGAAGAGACUCCCAUUCUUGCUUCCAGGAAGAAAUCCGGUGGUAACCCCUGGGUAUAAGGAAUUCUGGCAGGAAGAGUUCCUUGCUCUUCAUCAAUUCGUGCAGGACGUCGUGACGGAUCAACGCGGCAAUCCCUCUCCUAAGACUUUAGAAAAACAUAAGUUGUUGAAGCCGCUUCCUCGAGUAAGUGGAAAUCUUCUGGACAAGGUAGAAACAGUCCCCAGGAAAAGGAGCGGAGGUCAAAAAGGCGUGCAGGUGGUAUCCGAUCAGCUUCACCAUCCCUAGUGAUCUCCAAUUCUUCCAAUAUGCAGACUCGCACGCAGCCGCAACAUGGCGCCUCCCGGAGAGAAAUCCGGUGAUAUUGAGUCUCUUGAAGAUGAAGAGGAAGAAGAAGAAGGUUCGGUAUGAUAAAGAAAGUACCUCUAAGUGUAGUAGCGAAUCCAGCUCUUCCGGUGAGCCAACAGCUGAGUCGGAAGGAACCGCACCUGGAGAUAACCCUGAGAUGGAGAUUAACCCUAAUGAGGAUGUCGUUGCGCCUUCCAAUGAGAAUGUGGACGCCAUGUCCGUUGUUGCGGGUGUAAUUGUUUCCAAAGAGUCUUCUGAAAUUGAAGGAGCGUUGGUCGUAAAUUCUGCUGCAUGCGCCAUUUUCAACCCUCCGUUCGUUGCUCCCUUAGCCGAUCAUGUUCUGAUUGGAGGAUUUGGCGUGCCAGCUAAGUACGCGGAGUUGUAUACCCGAAUAUGGGAUAAGCAUGGACACAUCGCAAUGACCAAGAAGAUUAGCAGUCGUGUUUCGUUGGUUAAACGCGUGGAAGAGGCCCUAUCUUCAAUCCAUGAUAUGUGCAGCGUGACUGGACACACCGUUUCUGGGGAAGUAAUCUCAAACUGGGAGUACCAUCGGGACAUGUGCGUGAACUUUGAGUUUAACGCCUCCUGGUUCUGCGAAGGAUUUUCCAAAAUCAAAAAGCUGCAUACUGAAGUGAACGAGGUUCCCUCCCUGGAUCUCAUUAAUCAACAGGAGGUAGAGAUCGAGAAGUUAUCCCAGGAACUGAAGUUAAAGCAGGUUGCUCUCCAAAACAUGAAGGACGCUUUCUCCAAGAAGAAUGAGUUGUUGUUGGAUGAUUUCCCUUGAAUGCUUUUAUUUUUUCUGAACCUUCUCCUCUUAGGUUUUUUUUUUGAACGGCAAAUGACGCUUCUUUUGUAGUUUGAUUUUCUGGUUUUGAUCUAAUAGGCAAUU